UUCCCUUCCAAUUACAUCCUCUGCUCUGUAUACCCUUCCAAAAACUAUUCCCUCCCCUCUUUGUCUCUUUCUUUCGGAUUGAGGCAACGCCACCCUCUGCUUUGUAUACCCUUUCGAAGAAGGAGAAGAAGAAGCUCAACAACUUCAUCAAUGGCUUCUACUAGCUGCAACGAUUCAUGAACUCUCUCUUCGCCCGAAAUGGUAAAACCCCUCAAAUUUCUCUUUUACCUCCAUAGGCUUUUUCAUCUCAACCCAACAUUUCUUCUUAUUUUGUAUCUGAAAUGUGAUUUUAUAUGCUAAUCAAUUAGUUUGAAAAAAAAAGUGAUUUAAAAUAUUUGGGCGAGAAUUGAAGGGGAAAGGAUUGGCUAAUCACCAUCAAAUUGAAUUCACAGUGUUGUUGACAAUUAGUACACUAAUACUCGACGACACUUCAAUCCAGUAUAUUUGAUAAUCAGACUCUGUUUCAAUUCAAGUAUAUACCAUCAUUCUUCUCUUUGUUUUGGAUUUAUCUUUCAAUAUAAUCAAUCUGUUAUGUAUGUUUAUAUUUAUGAAAAACAAUUCAUUUGUUGCAUCAUUCAUUUGUUAUAUUUGGUGUUUCUAUUGGUGGGUUUUUUGAAGUUGGAUUUGGGAAUUGGUAAUUACUUUUUGGGAAUUAGUGACUGGGGUUUUUGGGUUGGUGUUUGGAUUAUGAUUUGGUAAUAUUUUAGGUAAAUGUUAUUUAUUUAAGAAGUUGAAGUGUUGGAUUGUAUUGAAAGUACUUAAUUCUCGAAUGUUUUGUGGGGGUUCUUGAAUAUUUUGUGGGGGUUCGUGAAUUGAAAUUAGUUAGAUUUUAAUUUAGUGACUUAAAGGUGUCUACUUAAUUGGGAUGCGAAUGAUUAAGAAUGCUUUUAUUUAAGAAAGGGUAGGCGUCAUGCUUUUAAAUUUGGGUGUGAUACCUACCGUAACGGAGUUUGAUUGCCAAAUUGAAAGAGUAAUACUUUAGGAAAUGAUAGAAUAACACGCUUUAUCUAUGUGAGAGUUUGUUUGGUUGCUGCAAAGCCAAUAGAAAAAGGAAUUGAAUUUUUACAGUCUGCAUAUAUCUGUAAAGGAUGUUAUCGAAUCAAAUUUAGUUGUGAUUUGAACUGUACAACAACUUCUCGAGUUGACUAUUUAAUUUAAUUUUUUUGAUUAAUUGUAAAACAGUUGUUGAGUUGACUAUUUGGUCUUGGGACAUAUGUGUGUGUGUGCGUGCACGCAUGUGCGCUUGUGUAUUAUUUGAUAAUCAGGUUGAAGGAAAAGGGAAAAAGUGCACCAUUUCCAAAGGAUUGCGUGCAAAAGGGAAAUCAAUAUGAAAGAUAACCUUCAAAAAGUGCACCAUUUCCAAAAUUCUGUACAUGUAAAGAAAAUUAACAAUUUUAAAAGUAAUUUAGAUUUCAGCUUGACCGGAAAUUACGUGUUUCGACUAUCGUACAGUAAAAAGGUGUUGCCUUCAAGUCCCAAUUCACAUAUAGGUGGGCAUGAUACACAGGGAUUGAUAAUUUAUCAGAGGUUUUCUGGAUGAAAGUAGAAAUAUUGAUUUGAAGGAAUUUGUUUUCAGUUUUUUUUUGUUUUCUUUAAUUAACUGAAUUUGAAGGAAUUUGAUGAUAAUUUAAUUUGCUGCCAUUUAAAGAGAAUCCACCUGAUAUGUAACUCUUUUCAUUCAUUAAAACUUGAAUGUUUGACUGGCUUAUAGACUCUAUACACCUGUUGAAUAAAGCAAUGGAAAGAAAAACUGAAAGAACAUUUGGAGGAAAAGUUAUAGCACAAAUUGGUAGGAAAAUUUCAAAUAUAACUCAACAAAGACUAAUCCAUUUACUAGGGGUCAGCUUCACAUUUAACUCUUUGCAGUUAAGGAAGCAUUUUAGGGUAUGUAUAGUGGUUGGGAUUUAAUCUGACGAAGAAGCCGGAAGUUCGGAUGCAGUUUUUGGAUUCCUUUGAUUCUCUAUUAAUUCAUUCGGGUAUGUAUUAUUUCAUUUCAAGAAUUAUGUUUUCUUGAAUUUAUAUUUGCUUUCUAAAAUCUCUGUAACCAUAGCCUUUCCUUAUGUCUGUUGUUUUAUCCCUGUCUCAUGUUUGUUCAAUGUUGAUGAUUCCUAUCGGGGAUUUGAAAUAGUUAGUGCCCACUCAAGGCCAUCUGUAUAUUUGGGUUGGGUAGCAUCUCAGAGAAUGAAUCACUUUCAAUGGGAACUAUGUCAAAUUUUGAUUAAUUAGAUCAUAAUCAGGAAUUCUAAUAUGCUACUUGAACAGAGUAAAAACAGGAGGGAAAAAACAGCCUUGUACCGUUGUACGAGUCUAGAGCAGGACUUUAACCAUGAUAAUUUUCCAAUUUUGGUUAGAAAUUCCUCUAAAAGCAUAAGCUCAUAUUAGCUAACCAUUUUGGUUCAUAUUAGCUAAGUAGUAGGUGUAAAUCCUUUGAACAUCAGUCUGCAACAACCAUUAUCGUGCUAAAACCCAACUAACCAUGAUUUACAAAUACAUGAAAAAAUGAAGACAACCAAAACAGAUGUUAGAUUCUGUUUAAAGAGUAGUAAGCAUGUUAAAAGCGUAUUUCAUUUUUGUUUAGCCAAUUGAAGACAAUUGUACAUCUCAUUUUUGUUCAAGAACUUAACAAUACAGGAAAGCUAAGCAGAAUUUGUGGGGAAAAAUUAAUAAAAUAAUCUAAAUUUGUAGGCAAAGGAUCAGAACCAUAUUUGUAAACUGACUGCUUUACGAGAAGCACGUGUUCUAGCAAAACCUCAGCUUUCUUUCAACUCGGUGACAACCCUUUUUCCUGGAUUGUAAAUAACAAAAUCAAGUGAGCUUCCGGCCUUCCACCUUACUUCUAUACAUUUGCUUAUUUAUUAGUAGUACAUACAGUUCACCAUGUUUUUUUUGGAUGCCUCAUCAAAUGUGGAUACUCUUGCUAAGUGCCUGAGGUUCAAAUGAUGACACUUGAUUCUUACCAUAAGUUGUCUGUUUGGAUUAUAUAGUUAGAUUUUUUUGUGUAGUUUGGUUACUAAGGAGCUUAAGGGUAACCUGGAUCAUGUGUCAAAUGCAAUGAUCUAAUUAAAACUGUGUGUUCGUAUUGAUACGAGGAAAUUAAUGAUAGUGAUGAAGAGAAGGUUUGAAGGGAUGAAGAAGACAUUUAAGAGAGUUAAAUGAUAUGCAAUCCAGUACCGACCUGUCCACCUUUGACGAUGACUAACACAUCACUGACCAAACAAUUGUCUAGGUGUGAAAGUCUCUCUGACCAAGACUCUCUAUAUUUCUCUACUUCUCAUGCAUACACACAACACACACAAUACAUGCAAAAACACACACACAUAACUGUAACCAAUCAAACACUUACAAAUCAAACUCACACACCAUUAUACUGCCACCAAUACAGAUUUAUAAGUUAAAUCAUUAAGCAAAUGAACCGUUUGUUGAAAUGGUACUAAGAAUACUUUAUUUGAUUGUAAGUCUACAUUCAUCCAUAUCUUUUCCAAAAUAAGUUGAUAAUUUGUUACAAUCUCUCUAAAUUCUUACUUAUAUAAAUCUAAAUCAUCCCCCCCCACACUACAUACAAAUGUGUGUGCUCAUUUAUUUUUUAGAUAAUUUAGGGUAAAGUAAGGGUUCUUAUGUUUCGGAUUUAUAGUUGUUUUAUUUUGACUCACAUAUUUCGAUAAUUUUUAUAUUUCAAAUAUUUUCAGGUAUACAUUGAAGGAUACUUGGUGUAAGAUGUAAAGAAUACUUGGUGUAAGCUGUAAAGUAAUGGGUCUUAUGCUCAACAUGUUGUUUCUCUAUUUUCUGCAUGUUUGUAUUUUUUGUGUUACGUCUUUUGUAAAGUUAACUAAUUAUACAUGGUUAUAAUGAUUUUUGGGUAUGGAAUGAUGGUUUUUUUGGUGGUUUGGAUAUGUAUUGAUGAUUGUAAGUUUUGUAGACAGGUUUAGAAUUUUUUAGAUAUCUAUUUUUAAAGGAAACUCUACCGAUUUUUUUUGAAAUUAGUACCUACUAGCUUGAUAUUUUGGUAGUUGGACAUGUGUUGAUGAUUGAGUAUGUAUUAAUUGUUGUGGUGGUAUGGUGAAUUGUGGUGGUAUGUGUCUUUAGGUAAUGUAAUAUUUUUUGAAUUUUAAUUUAAUUUUUCAUUACGCCGUGC
rnacentral:lncRNA from 1 species